UUGCGCAUUUCUACAUGUCUGCUGUACUUUGCUGUUACAUUGAACAAGCUGUAACUACAGCAAAAGAGAUGAGUACACAUCUACUGUGCUUAUAGGAUAAUGUUUUAAAUUGUAUUUCCUACACUUUUAAUUAGUCUUUUUGUUUUCUGCACUUAUUUUGUGCUGUCCUGUAGUGCAGAGACAUUGUAUAUCUUUGGGUUUGCCUCUUCUUUUUUCAAGUCACUGGCAGAAGCUCCUAUAGAACCGUAUUUCCUGCUGUGGCUUUGCCUUGUCUUUAGGAGACACUGGAAAUAAUUCAGCCAGCUUGCUGUGCAUGAGCAUUUGGCCAUCACUGCACACACUUGGGUUCCAAUCCCAGUAGAUCUGAGUGGUUUAAUGAAUGCAGGAAUAAGUGUGCUUGUUGCUGUAUUGCCGUCUGCUGCUGAUUGGUCGGAGAACCUGCUCAGUAGGGGGCACAUCUCUAGGAGUUUCUUCAUGCACUACGCUCACUCAGUGGUGAAGCUCCUUGCUGUGCAGUAAAAGGAAGCAGCUGGCGAUGACAUUCGUGUCAGAGUUGGAAAAUGAUGUAUAGUAGCUUAUAACAUCCCAAGGCCAACAGCGGUGGUAGACAAUAACUAGAAAGAAUCUUCAUUUUGGGGAAAGUGGGGAACAACAGCUCCCAUCAAUACUGCUGCUUUGACUCACGUAAAGUAUCAUGUUGAACACCACUUACAUUUUAACUGAAGUUAAUUUGUUAUGCGGCUGCACACAGUUGCAUUUUUCUGGUGGGAAUUUAAAAGUGAGUGCAGAAUGGAAGUAACACACAGCGGGAGAUGUACAAGGAAACUUCAAGCCCAAGGCAAUGUUUAUAGCAUUGUAAAGGAACAGAGGAAAAAACACAAUACAUGUAUUAUUUAAUAAAGGAUGAUGCUAAAGCAUCAACAUGUCACUGUGAGAUAUUAUAAUGCAUAUGGCUUCCUAGACAUAAGACCACUGGAGCUCAACAGACAGUCGUAGCUCCUCACUGUAACAAAUACAGCAGUGGGCUUUUCACGAGGUAAAUAUAAAACACUGGUAUUAUACUAUGAACAAAUGAUCUGUUAAGAUAAGAAUGACUCCUGAUAUAUUAAGGAAGUGUACUAUUGUGUGUCAAAGAAAAGCAAGUCACUGCUCAUUUAGAACCUGAAAAAGUACUUAUGGCUGAAUUGUCUUUGUCAAUUUGUAAUGCAUAGUUACAAAAAAGUCAAAUUUAAAUAAUUUAGGUGGAUCAUGGAGAGUAAGUUGUACCAUCAGAAAUACAAACAAUUAAAGCCGCAAGCGGCGAUGGCGGGCCCUCGCUCACCCAUGCCACCGCAGGGCCUGAGGCAUGGCGGGGCUGUGGCGUGAAGCAGAAAGUGAGAAAAAACCUGGAAGGAGGCCAAAAAUGCAAUGUUUCGUUCAUCCAGUAGGGGGCAGUCACAGGUAGUUACACAUAUGGUCUGGUGUGGUCUGGUGUGUUCAGGGCGGCCACUCAUCAGUCAUGUGAAGUUUGGAGUGAAUUGGACAAAGCAUGAAGGAGUUAUGAGAGGUUGAUGGUUCAUCCACCAGGGGGCAGUAGAGUGUAACAAAACACAAGCGGUUGCGUUCAGGGUGGGACAGUGAUUACACAUGUGAAGUUUUGUGGAAAUCGCACAAUGAUGAUGUAAAAUAUGGCACUUCCUGUUUCCACUAGGGGGCGACACGAGUGAGAUCGCCUAUGAGCGAAUGGAGACGUUGAGGUUGGCACCCUGGACCUGUGUACCAAUUUUCAUGAUGAUACGAGUUCAAUAAAGCCAUCAAAAAGCCAAAUGUAUUUUCAUGGCGAGGAAUUGAUGGUCGCCGCGUCGCCACACGGACGCCAUUACUCGUAGCUUCACAGUCUUCAUAAUGUAGCUUCACCAACUGGUUCUGAAUGAAGUUGAUGGGGCAAAGUAUGUAAUUUUAAUGAAUCUUAGUUAACUUCCUGUUACCACCGGGGGGCGCUAUGAGUUACGUGGGAAGUUAAUAUAUCGGGACGUUCAGGGCGGAGCCAUCAUCAACUCCAGCAAGUUUGAAGCUGAUUGGAUGAAGUAUGUGGGCGUGAGAGCCACUCGUAUGUACAUGGCGAGCACGCCAAAGUUAGUUGAGUCCUGGCAGACACGCCCUUUGACCUACGGAUGCGCAGAGCACAACUUAAGCUCAGCUAGGUCUGGAGAUGUUGCGUACCUAAUUUGAACUUGAUCGGGCGAACGCUGUGGGAGGAGUUAAUUUUAGGCGGGAAAAAUCAAAACCAAAAUGGCCGACUUCCUGUUGGGUUGAGGUCAUGAGGUCAAGAGGCUUUUUUGCAUAUAUGGGUAUAAUACAUAUGUGUACCUAAUAUAAUAAUAAUAAUAAUAAUAAUAAACAUUACAAUUUCAAUAGGGCUUUCGCCAGGCGACUUGCAGUCGCCGCUCGGGCCCUAACUAUGCCAGACAGUACCAUAUUAAUAAAACCACAUGUUGUGAGCUUUCUUAGAUUUAAAAGUAUAUGUUUUUUCUUAGCUUGCUUUUGCUGUAUGCAACAAUGUAAAGCAUAUAGCAACUGAGCAAAGGUGUUCAUUUGAUCUCUUUCUUAAAUAUUUUUGAUUUAAUUUGUCUUGAGAAUGUUUUUCCCCACAUGUCGUAUCUUGAGGAAGCUCACUAGGAAGAAAAACACUGGAAAUGAGAGAAUGAACAUAACCAUGUAUCAGCUAUUAUUUUUUCUCAUUACAAUUUAAUGUGUGUCAUACACUAAUGUGGAUUAAUUACCUGGAAUAAAAUCUAAGAUCCCCAUGAUAUUUUUCUGAGCAGAGGGCUCUCCAACUGUCUCUGUUAUUAUUGGCUCCAUUCGGUACGCUUCUGGAAAGCUAUGGACAUUCCUUAUAAACUAUCGGUGUAAUAACUCAAUAAAAUUAGUUAGACAUCACUCCCCCCAAAUCCCUAUUCCAAAAACUGUAACAGAUAAAGCUCUGAUAGAGUUCAACAGCAACUCCAUAUCAGUUCAAAUGUCAUGUAUAAUACAUUAUCCCUUCUAAAAUCCCAUAGCACAGACACAAACCACAAUCCAAUGAACUUUAUAUACCACAAACAGGGGAUUUAAACACGUGUGAUUUAAUUACCUCUGAUAUUAAGCGCCACAAAUUUCACCAUAGUGAGAUUUAUUCUGACUGUGGUCAAAUAUUAUUUGGGUACUACUAACUGCAGAGCUUCAAGACAUAAUCUUAUAUCAUCUUUUUUCUCAGUUUUUUGAGCUGUGUAAGUUUAGCUCAUCUCUGUGCUGCUUGUUCAACUUUCUUCAAAGGAAUAGCUCAACAUUUAGAUGAGUGAGAUUGAUACCACUCCCGUGCUUGUUAGUAUAAUGUGAAGCUACAGCCAGGAUAUGAUUAGUUUAGUACAAAGACUGAAGAAAGCAAGAGACAGCACCUUUUGUCCAAAGGUUAACAAAAAAAUUGCCAGCUAGCAACUCUACUUAACACCUUAUAUAUUGUUUGUUUAGAUUUCUGGCAUUUUUGCCUUUCCUUACACAUAGAUUUAAGAUUUGAAACGUAAUUUUCAUUGUGCAAGCAUAAUGAAAUUGCAGUUACGUUAACCUCAAAUAGUGUAUUUGUAUUUAAGACUCCACACAUAUGAGACAGGAAUAAGGUAAGAAAUAUAAAAUAUAAUUGAUAGAAAGUACAGAAUCUAAGCAAUAUAAGUACAAAAUAUAAGCAAUAUGAAGUAUAAAUACAACUAACAAUAAAACACAACAACAUACAACAAAGGUGUACAACUAAUGAGGGUAAGGCAAGUUUACUGUAUUUGACUAAAUAUGACAUGCAACAAAGCAGCAUUGCAGGACACUGUUGGCUGUAGCUUCACAUUUUAUCAACAGAUCUGAGAGUGGUAUCAAUCUUUUCCUGUAAGUCUCGACAUGAAAGCAAAUUAACAUAUUUUACAAAAUGUCAAACAAUUUCUUUAACAUUUUACAAAACACUAAUCUUAAGUCCUUCUCUGUUACCACAAGGAGUUUGCUCCGCCACCUCAUCUUCAUUCUUGUAAACCAUGCGAGUCAGGUAUUCCAGUACCUUCCCUCCUUCUCUGCAGCUACGUUGGCUACCCUCAGUGCUGCAAACCAACAGUGCAGGGCGUAAGUCGUGGGCAGUCCUCCAUCAGAGCCUGGCUUCCACCAGCAGGUGAAGGUCUCUUUUUCGGGAGAACGACAGCUGGUCAGUGCAGGCUUCCCUGGUGGGCUGUAGCCUACAGACAUUCAAAAAAGAAAGUGGAAGCACACAGUAAAAAGGGUGUAUUAUUUAUAUACCAAAAAAGGAAACAACCUACCAACCAAUGAGACACCUCUGAGAUGUCUUACCUCAUUGCCAGAGAUUUAAGAAGAUACUGUGUUUUCAAGGACUUACGUGUUCCCCUAGCAUGCAGCGUGACGACUAGCAACAACAGCAUGAUUAAUUCCAAGACUUUCUUCAUCAUGGCACCACAAAGCCUUUACUGUUGGAGAGAGAGAGAAAAAAACAAACAAUGAAAGGUGAGGAUGGGAAAACUGCCUGACCAUGACAAAUCACAAGAGCUGUAAUGUUUGUGCACCAAAAUAGCAGAACUGCUUUGUCUUGUAUUGAGUGACAACAUGCUUGCAUGAUGGAAAGGAAAAACAUGAAGGAUGACGCCUGCUGUGCAGUAGCUGGGAUGUUUUGUUUCGUUAUUCUAUCACACAAUGUUUGACAGUAAAGAUAUACAUGCAAUACUAAAAAUUAAUUUAAGAGGUAGAGUCAACAAUUCCAAUCCAAUACAGUUUUUUUCAAAUUCCGCAAAUAUUUCCUCACAGUUCACCAGUUGUCUGUUUUGUAUGUGCGCUGAAAAAACAUCAGGUUUCCAUACACAGCACUGGCUCUGUACAUUGGUAUGUAAACACGGUGGUUCGGAGCAACCCACACAACAACACCUUUUUAACUGUAUUCGUGAAUCAAUAAAUACAAACACAUUG